GCCAUUAACGCGCCUGUAUAUGUCGUUAACAGCUACUCAUUUGCCCCAGUAUCUGUGCGCUAGAGAUGUCGACGAUACACGUAAUACUCAUCGUCGACAUCUCUAACGCACAGAUACUGGCGCACUAUCCGAGUUAUUAUUUGCUUAUGCUACUCUCUAUUUGUUCUUGCCGUUGGUCGGUGUCAGUAAAUGAUUGCCAAAGGGAAUUGUUGAAUCGUAUUAAAUAGCUUCUGCAUUUCGCUGAGCCAACGUUUUUUGGGGAUAUGCUACCUGUGGCUUUGUGGUACGUUGGCAGCAGUUUUACUUAUACUCUGCUUUUCCUGGCCACAGUAAUAACCUACAGCGUGGUGACAUAAAAUGUAUUAUAGCCCUGUAAUUGUAUGGAUAUUAACAUGUAGCCUUUCAGCGUACCCUGGACAUUUUGUAUAAUAUAAUAGUAAACCAUGGGAUAUCUCAUAGUGUCGGUUUAUAGAUAGAGAAGUAGGUUGCAGAUCUGCAGACAGCAUUUCGCAGAGGCAGACUUCGCGAUGAAGGACAUUUCGAGGGUUAUGGUGUAGGGGUUACCGACCGACCGACCAUCAUCAAAAGCGACUGAACGAAGGCGGCCACGCGAGUCAAUGCAAUGGAGCCCCAGAGGAUGACAUCUUCAUCCCUGAAAAUGUUUUCAUCCUGGAGAAGGAGACUGUGCAGGAGGCAGGUUCGGUACUGUUUGAAGACUUUGAGGGAACAGAUGGUCGCCAGACAAAAUAAUAACAACAAUAAGGUAGCUAAGCCAGUCAAGGAGACAGGUUAGUGUGUGUAGAGGGAACACAUUUGAGCAGGUGGAGUCAGGCUUCUACUUCAUCUCCCUGGCCACUACACCAAUGAGGCUGAGGACCUCAAGUUUGGACCAGUGGGCCACCAACUCAUCUUAUUCCUAUCACAACGCAGCACAUAUGUAUCGUUCCACCUUCCUCAAACUCUAGUGCCAUGCUUUUGAUGACCAUUUUACCAAUGUCUAUGGAUUGUACAAGGAUUUUAUGUCGGGACUUCCAACUCCACACUAAAUCUAAUUCCAUCUCCUGUAUUGUUCUGCCCUCUCUAUAGAUUAUGCUAACGCCCCACUGUAAGAACCUGGAGAUUUUCACUGGUUGUGAGGGAGGUGACGUGGCCACAAACAGUGCAUGGGACACCUUCCAGCACUACCUCUGUCUAGAGAACAGCCAGAGAGGGUGGUCAAGACAUCUGCCGUAACUUCAUAUUUAGUGUGUCAGCUCUGCUGUACCUGGGAGCUAAAGGUAUGGCACAGCACUGCCAACAGUCAUGUAUGCUUAAACAUACUAGUAUGCUCAUUUAUCUGUUUUUUAAAGCGGCAUUCAGCAGUUGAAACAAUAAGAAGUAUACUCCCCGCCCCUGUUUGAUAAAAAACUGAGGGAUGGGGCUGGAGAAAUGUAACCACUCUCAAAUUCAUAGACAGAGCUAUGGAUGCAAGAACGGACCAUCACGCCUCCUAAAACACCAUUGGAGGAGACGACCCAAGGUUCCUCGCCUUAGACCUCCUCCAAUGGGUUUCGAGAUGGAUGCGAGUGGAGAGGAAGUGAGGAGUUGAGCAGAGAUCAAUUGUGACAGAGCUCAUGUCAUCGUUUUAGUUGGAAUUUUAUGUUGAAGGGUACAUUCAUUCUGUUUGCACUUAUAUCUUGGUUUUACCUGUGCUCUUUCCACAGAUGGCUCUGGCUUGCUGAUGUCAUCUGAUCUGAUGAGAUUCCUUAUGGGAUUUGACUCCUGUAUCACUGACUGUAUUAAAAAAGAAAAACAUCCAAUGACAAAUAUAAUUGAUAGUCGAUGGUGUCAAAUCCAAUUCAAAAGCAUGAGAUGGCACGCGCGAGCAAACACUGAGUUAAGAGAGAAGAAAUGUGGUCCAGCGAGAGGAGGAUGGGUCCCCUGCACAGGCCAGUCAAGAGUGCAAUUUAAACUUGCAAGUGUGACUUUGAGCAAGCAAAACAUCAUUGUCACACAUAAAAAUACAUCUUAAAAAGUACAUAAUAUGUUAAUAAAUGUCUUAUUACUUGUAACAUAGGUUGCGUGUAAGAGAGUUAAUGUUGCUCGCAUGUUGUUUGUCCGUUAGCCCAAGGCUUUGGAAUACAAGUGUGUGAUUCCUUAGCCCAGGGUUAAAUCAUAGCCCAGCCAGGGUUAACAAUGCUUGUGUGAACACAGGCUAAGCUAGCCCAGGGCCAGUAUAGCCUGGGGCUAAGAACAAUGCAGUGUGAAAUGGCCUUCAGAGGCUCAUCUCAAGCUCUUUCUAAUACUCAAAUGCAAACAAUCCAGCAUCGUCAGUAUUUGUAUCUGUUUUACUCCACUAACCCCUUCACUCUGCCUCAGUUUCCAGACAAUGUUUACACCUGCCUACCAACCAAACAAUUGUCACCAAUCAUAACAUUGUUGGGACAGAGUCAUACACAAAUGGAGAAUUCAGAGGGCAGUGCUAAGUAUGGGAGGUGAGCAAGCGCCUGAAUGCUCAGCUGAAAGAGUCUGAGAAGAGACACCAGGAGGAGAAGGACUGAAUGCAGACUGAAAGCGGUGAGUUCAGCCGGCGUCUUGACAAGCAGUCGAAGCACCUGCAGCGAGUGGAGGGGUAGGCGGAGGAGCGAGGUCAGAGGUUGGAGGAGUUGGAGCGGCUGCUGGGGGGCAUGGAGCUGGAGGGUGUUGUCCUGAAGGACAAAAUGGCCGACAGCGGGGCUGAACUGCUGCAGCUGAGAGCAGCUGA